GAUGAACGCUGGCGGCGUGCCUAAUACAUGCAAGUCGAACGAAUCUUCUUCGGAAGAUGAGUGGCGAACGGGUGAGUAAUACAUAGGUAACCUGCCCCUGUGCGGGGGAUAACAGGAGGAAACUCCUGCUAAUACCGCAUAGCCAUGAGCACCGCAUGGAGCUCAUGCCAAAUAUCCUUUAUGGGAUAGCGCAGGGAUGGACCUAUGGCGCAUUAGCUGGUUGGCGGGGCAACGGCCCACCAAGGCAACGAGGCGUAGCCGGCCUGAGAGGGCGGACGGCCACAUUGGGACUGAGACACGGCCCAGACUCCUACGGGAGGCAGCAGUAGGGAAUUUUCGGCAAUGGGGGAAACCCUGACCGAGCAACGCCGCGUGAGCGAAGAAGGCCUUCGGGUCGUAAAGCUCUGUUGUAAAGGAAGAACGGCGCAUACAGGAAAUGGUAUGCGAGUGACGGUACUUUACCAGAAAGCCACGGCUAACUACGUGCCAGCCGCCGCCGUAA
rnacentral:rRNA from 1 species